GCAAAAUGAUGAAACCAGCUAGACCUCCAGCCUGAGCUUUCAUAAGUCAUAUUGUCACGCCCUGACCUGAGAGAGACGGUUUAUUUCUCUAUUUUGUUAGGUCAGGGUGUGGGGUGGGCAUUCUAUGUUUUAUAUUUCUAUGUUUUGGCCAGGCAGAGCUUUUUCCCUCCUAGAGUUGUGGGAUCUUAUUUUUGUACUGCUCGGUAAGCCUGCAAGACGUGACGGUCGUUUACCAUUGUUUAUUAUUUUGUUUAAGUGUUCUGAGUAAAAAUAAAUAUCAAGAUGAACACUUACCACGCUGCACCUUGGUCUACUCCUUUGGACAACCGUUACACAUAUGAUCUAUCAUAGGGGUUAUACAUUAAUUCUUGCAUUCUACAGCCGUACUAUUUAUUAGGAAUUAUAUCACAAAUAAACAUACCCCUAAUGAGAUAUAUAGUUAGCUAAUAAUAUAGUUAGCUAAUAAUAAUAUACCCUAUCUUUCUUCUGGCCGAUAGGCUAGUAGCUACUAGCUACAAAUCCAAUCACAAACCAGUUCUUCAUUUUAGCUAAUACCUAAUGACAAAUACUAUUGAAUUUGUCUAUUUGAGCAUUUUAUUUUGUAGUCAUCAAAAACAUUAAGAUCAAAAAGACAAGACACAAGCUAAAUUAAGUAGGCUACCUUGGUCCGUUUUGGGUGACUGACUGACUGCAGCUUGAACAACAGUCAACAGACUAGCUUGACUUUGGUAGCUAGCAAUCCAGCUAACAUUAUCUGAGGAGACACUAUAGUGGCCUGAACAUACGAUGACAUUGCUAAAGUAGGCAAAUAAUUAUUUGGAAACAUCUUUGCCAUCAUUAACAGGUCCUACGCUAUUACUCCAAGAUCGGUGUACAAGCUGACGCGAUUUCCUCUACAGCAGUGUCUCAUGCUGAAGUUGUCAAGAGACUGUCUGAAUUAAACUGCUCUAAAGUUACAGGCCUCAACAAUAUCCCUGCCAGGUUUUAAAUGGUGCUGAACUUAAUGUCCCCUGUGUCACCCAUUUAAUAAAUAUCUCUAUUGAGCAGGGUGGAAUCCCCAUGGAUAAAACGGACACUGGUAACUAUAGACCUGUAUCUAUUUUUAGCAUGCUGUCUAAAGUGAUGGAAAAAGUAAUUUACGAAUAGAGGAAUAUACUAGCAAGAAUAAUACUUUAUAUACUCUACAGUCUGGUUUUAGAAAGUCCCACUCCACUGACGUCUAUUAUUUUUAACUGACUUUACCAGAAAAUCAUUCUUGAAGUUGACAGGGGACAUUUCUGUGGAAUGGUAAUGCUGCAUCUGCAGAAGGCGUUUGACACGGUUGAUCAUAGUUUCAUGCUCUACAGGUAAAUAACCAUUGGUUUUAACAGCAGGGCCAUUGACUGAUAGACCAAAUGGUGGAUGUAAAUCAAAAACAUUCUAGUGCGAAGGGGAUUAGCUGUAGGGUCCCACAGCGGAGCAUGCUUGGCCCACUUCUCUUCCUACUGUAUAUUAACUAUAUGAAAUCAGCCUGCUUUCGUCAUUUGUUUUUGAAUGCGGAUGACUCCGCCCUACUGGUGUCCCAUGAGCUCAAAGCCUCAGUAGAAGAGAUCUUUAGUGCAGAGUUAUCCAAUAUCACUAAAUGGCUUUCAUCAUUUUCACAAUUUCAGUGUUAUUUCAACCUCAUAGUGUGGAUAUCAUCAAAAAAAAUCAAGAACCUCAUUGCGGAGAAGAAACUAACGUCUCUGGGCAUGGCGUAGCGUUUGCCCAGAGCAAGGAGUCUGGGUAGCCAGGCAAACAACACUGUAAUGAGGAACGUAUAAAUGUAUGGUUGGAUCAGAAUCACCAUUAUAAUCAUUGGCCAGUACGGAGAAUUAAGUAAACCCACAAGUCCAAAUCCCUAUCUCCAUCCAUUACUAAUUUAGGGAAGGGACAAGUUUCUGUCAGUGACGUAUGCUCUCAAUGCGAUGUGAUUGGAGUGAAGCCAAAUUCAAACUGGCUUCCCUUGACACUUUUUGUUUGUGUACCGGGACCAUUCACAGUUUAGCUCACUCAGUUUAGCUCAACACUUUAUUUAUUUUUUUUAUCAAGGGAGGCCAAAUGCUCGCUGGCUUCCCUUGCAUUCAAUGCUGCGGGCGGCAACAAUGUCAUACUCUUUUGGACCAGACAGCAUCAGAUAGAUGGCCUACACAUACAGAGACAGAGUGGCACUGUUUCACUUUCUGAUGAGAUACAACAGAUAACACAGAGAGACAAAAGAUACAUUAUUUAAUGUUUUUAAUUUAAAAAAUGAAAAUAUUUGGGGGAAGCCUGGCUUCCCUUGGCAUCAAUGAAUACACGCCAAUGGGCCUGAGAGGAUGGAAGUUCAAUAUAUAGCUAGAUGUAGAAGGAUAAUGUUAACUAGUUAACGUUGCCCAUGAAAGGAAGUUAGGCUAGCGAGCAAGCUUUUUAGCCAGGUAGCCUUGGGACAACAAAAAUGAAAGCGUGCUCUCCAGUUUUGUGAUUUUAUUUAACCUUCAUUUAACUAGGCAAGUCAGUUAAGAACAAAUUCUUAUUUUCAAUGACGGCCUAGGAACAGUGGGUUAACUGCCUUGUUCAGGGGCAGAACAACAGAUUUGUACCUUGUCAGCUCGGGGAUUCGAUCUUGUAACGGUUACUAGUCCAACACUCUAACCACUAGGCUACGCUGCCGCCCAUGAAACAAAGGUGUUGAAUUGAAUUUAUUCAGCCACUGUGUCUUCUUAUUGUCUCAGCCUCAGGCCUGUAUAUCACGGUCGCAAGGCGUAUGAACUAACAGGUUAUAGAGCUAACAGCCCAAUUAUCACAACACAUAGGUUGUAAUAUGGCUUUUUUUUCUGGCUUGGCUUCCUCAGAGAUUUAACCCACGCAACGCUACUGGUAAAAUAAAGCGUUCAUCUAGCCGUGGUUUCUGAUGUCAGUUGAUUUCAUUAAAGUAUGAUUAAGGCUGGAUUAGGAGUAUAAACAGGAGGUCCUUCCAGAGCCUUCACAUUAUAUUCAUCUUCCAUUUUGCUCUAAUCUAAUUCCACCAGUGGAGGCUGCUGAGGGGAAGACAACUCAUAAUAAUGGCUGGAAUGGAGUGAAUGAAAUGGUAUCAAACACAUGAAAACUAUGUGUUUA
rnacentral:lncRNA from 1 species